UACGGAGGGUGCUAGCGUUGUCCGGAUUUAUCGGGUUUAAAGGGUGCGUAGGCGGGAGAUUAAGUCAGCGGUGAAAGCCCACAGCUCAACUGUGGAACUGCCAUUGAUACUGGUUUUCUUGAGUAUAGAUGAGGCAGGCGGAAUUUACGAUGUAGCGGUGAAAUGCAUAGAUAUCGUAAAGAACACCUAUAGCGAAGGCAGCUUGCUAAACUAUAAUUGACGCUGAGGCACGAAAGCAUGGGUAGUGAACAGG
rnacentral:misc_RNA from 1 species